UCUCACCUCAAAUGUUUUCAGAAACAUCUGUGGUGGCAAUUUCUGUUAAAUAAAGCACAAAGUCAAAACUUGUCUUUCGAAUAAGUUUAAUUCAAAGCAUCUGUAGAUGGACCUGUGAGCACAACUGAGUGAGUUGAAGCAAUCUGGAAGCCCAAAGACACUUUACAUGUGAAAACCCGAUCCGUGAUCCAAUGUGAGGGUUUAAUGGACAAGUAGCUGCUGAUUUGGAAAGUCUGGUCUGGUUGCUGAACAGCAGGGCUGGUUGAGAUCCCACUGCUCACUGGACACCCGUCACCCAACCAGGAGGAUUCUGUGUCACCACCGUCACACCACUCACACCUGGAAACAACAAAAUGACACGGAGUCAAGAGAAACACACAGACUGAUGAAUCCAACAUGAGGUCAAAGCUGCAGUUUUUCGUACGUCAACAACAG